rnacentral:misc_RNA from 1 species
GAUGAAGAACGUAGCGAAAUGCGAUAAGUAAUGCGAAUUGCAGAAUUCAGUGAGUCAUCGAAUCUUUGAACGCACAUUGCGCCCUGUGGUAUUCCGCAGGGCAUGCCUGUUCGAGCGUCAUUUCAACCCUCAAGCCCCGCUUGGUGUUGGGCCCCGCCCGCUGUGGCCGGCCCUAAAGACAGUGGCGGCGCCGCCUGGCCCUCAGCGUAGUACAUCUCUCGCUCCAGGGUCCGGUGGCCGCCUGCCAGAACCCCCCAACUCUGUGGUUGACCUCGGAUCAGGUAGGGAUACCCGCUCAACUUAAGCAUAUCAAUAAGCGGAGGA